CCACAUCACAUUGAAAUACCGGUUCCCAUACGAUCAUCGAAGUUAAGCAACGUCGAGCCUGGCCAGUAUCUAGAUGGGUGACUGCUUGGGAAUACUUGGUGCUGUAAG